rnacentral:rRNA from 1 species
GAUGAACGCUGGCGGCGUGCCUAAUACAUGCAAGUCGAGCGAACGGACGAGGAGCUUGCUCCUUUGACGUUAGCGGCGGACGGGUGAGUAACACGUGGAUAACCUACCUAUAAGACUGGGAUAACUUCGGGAAACCGGAGCUAAUACCGGAUAAUAUAUUGAACCGCAUGGUUCAAUAGUGAAAGACGGUUUUGCUGUCACUUAUAGAUGGAUCCGCGCCGCAUUAGCUAGUUGGUAAGGUAACGGCUUACCAAGGCAACGAUGCGUAGCCGACCUGAGAGGGUGAUCGGCCACACUGGAACUGAGACACGGUCCAGACUCCUAAGGGAGGCAGCAGUAGGGAAUCUUACGCAAUGGGCGAAAGCCUGACGGAGCAACGCCGCGUGAGUGAUGAAGGUCUUCGGAUCGUAAAACUCUGUUAUUAGGGAAGAACAAAUGUGUAAGUAACUAUGCACGUCUUGACGGUACCUAAUCAGAAAGCCACGGCUAACUACGUG